CCUACGGGAGUCAGCAGUGGGGAAUAUUGCACAAUGGGGGAAACCCUGAUGCAGCGACGCCGCGUGAGUGAAGAAGUAAUUCGUUAUGUAAAGCUCUAUCAGCAGGGAAGAAAAUGACGGUACCUGAGUAAGAAGCCCCGGCUAACUACGUGCCAGCAGCCGCGGUAAUACGUAGGUGGCAAGCGUUGUCCGGAUUUACUGGGUGUAAAGGGCGUGCAGCCGGAGAGACAAGUCAGAGGUGAAAUCCACGGGCUCAACCCGUGAACUGCAUUUGAAACUGUUUCCCUUGAGUGUCGGAGAGGUAAUCGGAAUUCCUAGUGUAGCGGUGAAAUGCGUAGAUAUUAGGAAGAACACCAGUGGCGAAGGCGGAUUACUGGACGAUAACUGACGGUGAGGCGCGAAAGCGUGGGGAGCAAACAGGAUUAGAUACCCGAGUAGUC
rnacentral:rRNA from 1 species